rnacentral:rRNA from 1 species
UACGGGGGGGGCAAGCGUUGUUCGGAAUUACUGGGCGUAAAGGGCUCGUAGGCGGCCAACUAAGUCGGAUGUGAAAUCCCCAGGCUUAACCUGGGAACUGCAUCCGAUACUGGAUGGCUUGAAUCCGGGAGAGGGAUGCGGAAUUCCAGGUGUAGCGGUGAAAUGCGUAGAUAUCUGGAGGAACACCGGUGGCGAAGGCGCUGCUCUGGGCCGGUACUGACGCUGAGGAGCGAAAGCGUGGGUAGCAAACAGG